GUCACAGACCCAGAGGCACAAACCCAGAGGUACAAAGUCACAGACCCAGAGAGGCUUUUCCCAGCCCUGAGCCCGUGCUUGGCCAGGAAACCAGGCCAGGAGAAGGAAUUUGGAGCUUCAGGAGCAGCCGUGCAGCCCAAACCCCCCUGAACCAGCCUGGGGAUGGGAUUUAGCAGAGUUUGUCCCCACAGGAUCCUCUGCUGGCUCUCAGCAUCCCAGCCUGCAGAGUUCCACCGCUCCAGGGACUCAUUCCGUGGUCAGGAGGAAGAAAGAGCUCAGGGUUACCCGGAGUAAUUGGAACUGCACGACCCCAAAGCUUCUCGCCGGAGAAUCACAAAAGGCUCAGGCUGCUCCUGCAAAUCCUCCCAGAGCCGCCUCAGAGAUUCAGAGAUUCUGCUCAAACAGCCCCAGCACAGAGCCCUGCCUCGCCUUUCAUCCUCACAUGCUCCUGUGCCUUCCAAAGGAGAUAAAAUGGAAUUAAAAACUGCCCCGGCAGAACCUCGUCAGGAACCCAUGGUUCUGCUCCGCUCCAGAACAGCGAAAUCCUGAUUUAUUCAUGGCAAAGUGCAUCACGCAUAACAAAUGGCGGAGAAAUUAAAGGAUGUGCUGAUUUGGAAACGA